rnacentral:tRNA from 1 species
UCCAGGGUAGCCUAGUGGACAUGGCAUCUGCCCCGUAAGCGGAACAUUGUGGGUUCGUUUCCCAUCCCUGGAC